UACGUAGGGUGCAAGCGUUGUCCGGAAUUAUUGGGCGUAAAGAGCUCGUAGGCGGUUUGUCGCGUCGAAUGUGAAAACCCGGGGCUCAACCCCGGGCCUGCAUUCGAUACGGGCAGACUAGAGUUCGGUAGGGGAGUCUGGAAUUCCUGGUGUAGCGGUGAAAUGCGCAGAUAUCAGGAGGAACACCGGUGGCGAUGGCGGGACUCUGGGCCGAUACUGACGCUGAGGAGCGAAAGCGUGGGGAGCGAACAGG
rnacentral:rRNA from 1 species